UAUCUACUUCGGGGUUGGGUGAAAUUCCCUACCGGCGGUGAUGUCUAAUCGUUUAUAGCAUACUUAUGCACACGAUGAGGCUUAGUCCGUGACCCGGACGCUUAUGUAUAGCGUACGGUGGACCUGGUGCAAUUCCGGGACCGACAGUAAAGUCUGGAUGGGAGAAGGAGAGC
rnacentral:ncRNA from 1 species